rnacentral:rRNA from 1 species
AUUGAACGCUGGCGGCAUGCUUUACACAUGCAAGUCGAACGGCAGCGCGGGCUUCGGCCUGGCGGCGAGUGGCGAACAGGUGAGUAAUACAUCGGAACGUGCCCAGUAGUGGGGGAUAGCUCGGCGAAAGCCGGAUUAAUACCGCAUACGACCUGAGGGUGAAAGCGGGGGAUCUUCGGACCUCGCGCUAUUGGAGCGGCCGAUGGCAGAUUAGCUAGUUGGUGGGGUAAAGGCCUACCAAGGCGACGAUCUGUAGCUGGUCUGAGAGGACGACCAGCCACACUGGGACUGAGACACGGCCCAGACUCCUACGGGAGGCAGCAGUGGGGAAUUUUGGACAAAGGGCGAAAGCCUGAUCCAGCAAUGCCGCGUGUGUGAUGAAGGCCUUCGGGUUGUAAAGCACUUUUGGCGGGAACGAAAAGGACUGUGCCAAUACCACGGUUCGAUGACGGUACCCGCAGAAUAAGCACCGGCUAACUACGUG